CUCAGUGUUGUGCACUUUGUCACCAGCCAUUCACACCAGAUCUGUUUGGUCGGAGCAUGUCUCUCCAUUUUUCAGUGCUUACAAGCAAUACGAUACAAUAUUAAAUCGGCUGACUGUGGUGUCAGCAUCUGUACUUUUAUAUUUAGCCACAUAUACUGCAGAUAUUCCCUUUUUAGUGAGGUGCCUGAUAUUCCAGUAUGUGAGAGGACAUGUAAUAAACUGAGAUCAGUUCUUGGGAAUCCUUGCAUUUGUUGGCAAUGGUUCAGCCAAGAUUGGAAAAUGAUAACAUGCAUCAAACAUAUGAUAUGGACAAGCAAGGGGGAUGUUUUUUCUCUGAUUAUAAUGACUGCAAAUGUAAUAUUGAUUUAUAACAGUUCAAACAAAAAGUUAAUAUAGGUGACAUACAAUUUAGAGUCAAAUUCAGUGGUUGUCUUUUCGUGUAUAUUUCAUCAAAGCAACGUAUUGUAUUAGGCUACCAAGUAAUUCCUGUUAAAUUCCUUCUUACCCCCUCGUUUAUUAGGCUACUUUGCUCUCAGGAAUGGUAUUUACUCUUUCAGAACUUCACGACAUCAGUGGGCGUUUUCUUAUCAGAGAGCGUGAGACAUUUUUACACAUUUCCCCUUGCUCAUUCAACCGCCUCUCAUUUACAGUAUCAUCAUGCGGACCGCUCUGCUUCUCGCGGUGUUCUCGUGCUUUUCUCUUAUCGAGGGAAAGCCAUUCGAAGGGGCUCAUUCCAAUUACAGUCUACUUGCAUUUUGUCAGACAUGUGACCGUGAGGCAGGCUAGCUCAAUCCGAGUAGAUAAAACGUGUGUUGGAAUUCGCAGAGAAGAUUCGUCCUAUGACUUUGACCUGCCCGACGCUGUGGCCGUGAACUUGCAAGACCUCACCUGUGAUGCAGAGUGGACCAUUGAUCAAUUCACAGCUAUCCUGGAUGGAAAUUCAGCAUACUUUUCACAUCCCUUCAAAAACGUAACCCGUAAUGGAAUCAGUGUGACUUACUGUCCAUUUUCAGUCACAUUCCAUGCCUCUUGUCUUAAUUAUGUCAAUCACCUUACAUGUUCUUGCACCAAUUCCACCAGCAUCUAUCCAGUGUUUAGCACAACUCUGCCAUCUAGAGAUUCAUCCUCCACUGCAAUCAAAACUAAUUCUUCAGUGAGACAACACUAUGUUGCCAUUGCUGUUGCUGCCAUUUUUGUCAUAACCCUUGUCAUUUUGGCUUUCCACUCUGCAAGCACAGCGAAAUAUGCUCCUGAAGAACAAAACCAGCCUGGUUCAGUAGAAUGAGCCUGAGGAGGCAACUGUAAUUGCCCUAGAAACAACACAUGGCGUGGAGUCAUAACAACACAUUAUCCUAUAAUGUAACACAUAUUAUAUUAUAUUAUAUUAUAUUAUAUUAUAUUAUAUUAUAUUAUAUUAUAUUAUAUUAUAUAGUCAAAAAUUGAGAUUUUCCACUGUAUAUUAUAUUAUAUUAUAUAGUCCAAAACUGGGAUUUUUCACUGUAUAUUAUAUUAUAUUAUAUUAUAUUAUAUUAUAUUAUAUUAUAUUAUUCAAAACUGUGAUUUUUCACUGUAUCACUCCGCUUGUCCGUGUUCCAUUUUGAACUUGGGUUUUUCAUUGAUUCAUUCUGCAACUAACUUGGUUACGCUAACCGGUUAUGACAAGUGAGGGUUUUGUAUUGAAUGUCUUUUGUAUAAACGAGUUACUGAAUCAUUCAUUCAUUUACUCAAGUAACUUAAUAUUACUCAAGUUAAUCAAUAUUGUAUAAAACCAUACCAAUCAGUAUAACAAUGUCACGCUUUUGGUGCUGCAACAGAACACACAACAGAGUAUGUGGAAGUGGAACGACAUCAAAUUCCUCUCCUUGCUCAAUAAGUUCUGUAAUCAUGUUACUUCACUCCCUCUACACAUUUCCUAUUUCUCACUGGUUAGAGAAAAACACUGCUCUUAGAGUAAGAGAAAACACAGACAUACUAAAAGUGACACAAACAGUGAAAUAUCAGAGUUUUACUAAAUAUGGUCACUGUUGUACCUGUAUUAUAUUAUAUUAUUAUAUUAUAUUAUAUUAUAUUAUAUUAUAUUAUAUUAUAUUAUAUUAUAUUAUAUCAUAUCAUAUAUUAAGUUUAAUAUGAAGUCUAAUAUAAAGGUUAUAACUUUGUAUUUCCUCCCAGUAUUUACAAUAGUUUCCUGUCUCUUCUGUUGUUAGAUAUUGUUUUUUACACAAAUUGGGCUUAAAAGUUUUAAUCAUUAACGUUACAUAGCGGCGCUUGUGUUCAUCUUUGCUUAGUGCUGUAAAUCUUGUUUGCUCGUAGUUCUAAACACUUUUAUAGGAAUUUCUUAUUUAUUUCAGGUUUUUCCAUCCUUGUAGCUCUUUUUAAUUUUUUUGUUUGUUUGUUUUGAGUUAUUCUGAAACUGCCAUUAAACCUAUGCCUUUUACUCAA
ensembl:lncRNA